UCGGAUAUGGUGUAACGGCUAACAUUGCCGCCUCUCAAUGUACUGAAAUGGAGAAUAUGACGCGGCAGCUCGGGGUUCGAUUCCCCGUAUCCGAA